AAUCUGGGUGAGCACGGGCUAAUCAACUGCCAGUGCAGCUAGGAUAAAGGCAGGCAGAGGAAUGCGGAAGGACUAGACUGGCUAAGUCUUCUGGCCUCCAUCUUUCUCCCAUGCUGGAUGCUUCCUGCCCUUGAACAUCAGACUCCAAGUUCUUCAGCUUUUGGACUGUUUGACUUACACCAGUGAUUUGCCAGGGGCUCUUGGGCCUUCAGCCACAGACUGAAGGCUGUACUGUCAGCUUCCCUACUUUUGAGAUUUUGGGACACGUACUGGCUUCCUGGCUCCUCAGCUUGCAGACGGCCUAUCAUGGUACUUCACCUUGUGAUCAUGACCACUGGUAUAGCUUGCCUGGUGGUGGACUUGGAGGAUACCAUUGCAUCAGGGCAUUUCUCCACAUGAUAGCUCCUGCCUGCUGGACAGGUCCUCUCUUGACUAUGUGUAUUCUCCAGAGAAGCAGCAUUUAUAAAAUUGGAUUAAAAUAAACUAACGAAUUAAAUAUGAAUAUGAAAAUAAACAGCUGUUUUCAUGGAAAUUGCAUUGAUGUGGAUUCUUCUGAAGGCAUGUCCCUAAAGAACCUGCCAACAAAUUCUGUAAAGGCAGAAUGAACAUUCUGGAAAAUUUAUGUCCUUGUGUAGAAGGCUAGAAAAAAAAAAGAAGAAAAAAGAAACUCUCAGCCUGAAGGCCUACGUAAAACACAAAGCACUUCUGAAAUCUUUUUGGGGGGCCAAAAUCACACCAAGCAAUGCCUGUGGAAGUGAAUGUAAUCAAGUAUUGCCCUACCAUCUUUCAGCACAACCACAUUAGAAUCUCCUUUAAAGUUUUUCCCACCUUCCCCAGCUCUAAUUGAUCCCCUCAAAACUAUGCUAAAUUUUUAGUAUUCCUAGUCACCUUCCGUAAGAUUGGAGCUAAUUCUGACAAAUAAUCUCUGAAUGAAAAGCCAUUCUACCAGAAAUACCACAUUUCUGGUAGAAAUGUUGGGAGCAUUUUUUUUCUUUUGCUUUCUCUUUUUUCUACUUUCGUUCUUUCAGUGAACUUAGUAGAUAUUAAUCCCUGGAGAGAUUAUUUUAGUUGGUAUCUGAAUUUUAAGGUAACUUUCAGUGCUUGAAAUCUAUCAUAACUAUGUCUUCUAAUUUCGUAGAAUCUUGGUCUCAGAACCUUAAGUUUUUACACGCAUUCUGCUUCAUUGCUAGAGAGCUGAAGAAAGAGGAAUCCCUACUCUGUCGCCCCACACUUUCUAUGUCCCAGGCAAAUAGCAACAGCUCAGUAUAUCCUAAGCACUUUUCUAAGAGUUUUACACUUAUUAAGUCAUUAAUCCUCACAACAACCUCUAUGAAAUUAUUAUUAUGGUUAAGGAAACAAGCACAGAAAGAGUAAAAAUUAAUUAUUUAAGACCAAUUAUUUAAUUAAGACUAGCCAAUUCAAUAAGUACUAACUGGGUGUCAUAUGUACACAUACACAUAUGUAUAAAUAUGUACACAUGUACAUAUACAGUCAAAUAUGUGAUAUGUAUCACUAUACACAGAAAUAUAUACACACACAGUGACAUAUAUAAAUCACUGUGCUGGGUACUAUAAGGCAUAGUUCUCACCCUUAAAACAUGUCUAGUCCUGUGCGGGAAUACCUGCAUCUAGAUACCUAAGGGCAUGACAUGAUCAACUUCAUAAAAGAUAGUACAGCAGAUCAAGUAUGGUCAGGAAGAACUAAAGCUAUUCUCAGUAUGAGCGUGAAAAGCCUUCUCUUCUGUUCUGUGACUCCCUGGAAGGCCCACAGUUCACAGCAAAGUGGGGACCAAAGGAUUGAGGCUCCAUUCCCUAGAGAUGGACACCCAGAAUUCAUGUUUAAAAAUUGAAAAUAAUCUCAUAAAAUAGUUGAAUCUUCCUGUGCAUGAAACAGCUGUAGCCAUGAUGCCCAACUCAGGGCCCUGCCUCAUUGAGUCCCCCCAGAGCUUUCCGCUGGCACUGAUGAUGUCCAGAUCUCCAUGCACACUGGUGCUGACACAGCCCCAUUAGCACAUUACUACUUCUGUCCCAUGAAAUAAAUCACAGCAAGGUGGUCGCCUAUGCAUUUCAGAAACCAGGAAAGUGGAACGCAUCAAGAUGAUCCUUUCACCACGACUAAGGAUGAUUUUGGAGGGUAAAGGAGUAGGAAUCAUAUUUUCUACCAUCACAGUUCAUUCCUUUACCUCUUCCCCAAAAGACCAUGAUAAGCUCCCAUGCUUAAGAGGAUCUUCAUUAGGAAGCAAUUACAGUCUAAGGCUAAAACUGUAGGCAGUCAUUUUAUUACUUUAGAAAAAUGUUUUGUAAAUAAACUUGGGAAGGAGGCACCAAAGUUGCUGUGAAAAGAAGAACAAAUUAUGAACAAAAAAGGCCAAUAAAUAAAUGGUAGUUAUCAUGACAUCCAUAGCGGGUCUUCCAUAAGUCAUAGUAAUCAUUCCCUGCAGGAAAGCAGCCACUAUCCAUCCAGGGACACUAACAUCAUUUUAUUCAAAGACUUGAGGGGGCCACCAUUCACAUAUGGUAGCCACACAAUCUUUGGACAAGAAAAUGAAGAGUUUGGGGAACAGCAUCAUCUGCCUUAGGAAAAACUCAGAGCCCUGGUCUAGAAUAAACUCUAGGGCUCUGAGAAAAUGAUUCUCUAAAACUAUCAGAAGUCUACGGAAAUAUGGAGAUUUUUUUCAAAGCUAUGUUUAAAUACAUUCGGUAAAUCUGAAAUAUAUUAAUAAACAUUGUUAUGUCUUUCUAUUAAGAAUAAUUUUGAUAAGAAUUCCCCACCAAAAUCACCUCCAUGUUGGCUGGACAACCCGAUGUCAUUGCUAAAAGAGUGAAAAUGUUUCAGUCUCUGAUAUUACCAAGUAAACAUAAUAAAUGGCUGUGAUGGUUAACACUCAGUGUCAACUUGGUUGGAUUGAAGGAUGCAAGUAUUGAUCCUUUGUGUGUCUGUGAGGGUGUUGCCAAAGGAGAUUAACAUUUGAGUCAGUGGGCUGGGAAAGGCAGACCCACCCUUAAUGUGGGUGGGCACAAUCUAAUCAGCUGCCAGCACGGCUAGAAUGUAAGCAGGCAGAAGAAUGUGAAAAGAGAGACUGGCCUAGCUCCCCAUCCUACACCUUUCUCCCGUGCUGGAUGUUUCCUGCCCUCGAACAUCAGACUCCAAAUUCUUCAGUUUUGGAACUCAGACUGGCUCUCCUUGAUCCUCAGCCUGCAGACAACCUAUUGUGGGACCAUAUACAUUUAAGCAUAUUUUAGGCUCCUCCAGACACUGCUUUUACUGGGUGGCUCUCUUUUGUUUUGUUUUGUUUUGGAGUAUUUUGCCAAUAUAUAAUGCACAGUCCCAUUUUAUUUAUUUAUUUUAUUUAUUUAUUUUUUGAGAUGGAGUCUUGCUGUCGCCCAGGAUGGAAUGCAGUGGCCCGAUCUUGGCUCA
rnacentral:lncRNA from 1 species